rnacentral:tRNA from 3 species
AAAGAUUUAGGUUAAAAAAACUAUAAACCUUCAAAGUUUAACAUAAAAUAAAAUUUUUAAUCUUUU